rnacentral:rRNA from 1 species
UACGUAGGGGGCAAGCGUUAUCCGGAUUUACUGGGUGUAAAGGGAGCGUAGACGGUAAUGCAAGUCUGGAGUGAAAACCCAGGGCUCAACCCUGGGACUGCUUUGGAAACUGUGUAACUGGAGUGCAGGAGAGGUAAGUGGAAUUCCUAGUGUAGCGGUGAAAUGCGUAGAUAUUAGGAGGAACACCAGUGGCGAAGGCGGCUUACUGGACUGUAACUGACGUUGAGGCUCGAAAGCGUGGGGAGCAAACAGG